rnacentral:rRNA from 1 species
GACGAACGCUGGCGGCGUGCUUAACACAUGCAAGUCGAACGAUGAAGCCGGAGCUUGCUCCGGUGGAUUAGUGGCGAACGGGUGAGUAACACGUGAGCAAUCCGCCCUUGACUCUGGGAUAACUGCGGGAAACUGUAGCUAAUACCGGAUACGACACCUUGGGGCAUCCCAGGGCGUGGAAAGAAUUUCGGUCAAGGAUGAGCUCGCGGCCUAUCAGCUAGUUGGUGAGGUAAUGGCUCACCAAGGCGACGACGGGUAGCCGGCCUGAGAGGGUGACCGGCCACACUGGAACUGAGACACGGUCCAGACUCCUACGGGAGGCAGCAGUGGGGAAUAUUGCACAAUGGGCGAAAGCCUGAUGCAGCAACGCCGCGUGAGGGAUGAAGGCCUUCGGGUUGUAAACCUCUUUUAGCAGGGAAGAAGCGAAUGUGACGGUACCUGCAGAAAAAGCACCGGCUAACUACGUGCCAGCAGCCGCCGUAA